GAAGCGGCCACACCGGCUGGCAACAUCCAGCUCCAAUCCGAACCUGGAAAUUAAGGUCAGCGCGGCCACAUCAGUACUGGGCUGGGCGACUUCCCGGGAACGUGCGGUGCUGCUU
rnacentral:rRNA from 1 species